rnacentral:rRNA from 1 species
AUUGAACGCUGGCGGCAGGCCUAACACAUGCAAGUCGAGCGGAUGAAGGGAGCUUGCUCCUGGUUUCAGCGGCGGACGGGUGAGUAAUGCCUAGGAAUCUGCCUGGUAGUGGGGGAUAACGUCCGGAAACGGGCGCUAAUACCGCAUACGUCCUGAGGGAGAAAGUGGGGGAUCUUCGGACCUCACGCUAUCAGAUGAGCCUAGGUCGGAUUAGCUAGUUGGUGGGGUAAAGGCCUACCAAGGCGACGAUCCGUAACUGGUCUGAGAGGAUGAUCAGUCACACUGGGACUGAGACACGGUCCAGACUCCUACGGGAGGCAGCAGUGGGGAAUAUUGGACAAUGGGCGAAAGCCUGAUCCAGCCAUGCCGCGUGUGUGAAGAAGGUCUUCGGAUUGUAAAGCACUUUAAGUUGGGAGGAAGGGCAGUAAGUUAAUACCUUGCUGUUUUGAGGUUACCAACAGAAUAAGCACCGGCUAACUUCGUG